CAGUCGCCGCGGUAAUACGAAGGGUGCAAGCGUUAAUCGGAAUUACUGGGCGUAAAGCGUGCGUAGGCGGUUUGUUAAGUCUGUUGUGAAAUCCCCGGGCUCAACCUGGGAAUGGCAAUGGAUACUGGCAAGCUAGAGUGUGUCAGAGGAUGGUGGAAUUCCCGGUGUAGUGGUGAAAUGCGUAGAGAUCGGGAGGAACAUCAGUGGCGAAGGCGGCCAUCUGGGACAACACUGACGCUGAGGCACGAAAGCGUGGGGAGCAAACAGGAUUAGAUACCCCUGUAGUCCCUGUCUCUUAUAC
rnacentral:rRNA from 1 species